UACGUAGGGGGCAAGCGUUGUCCGGAAUUAUUGGGCGUAAAGAGCGCGUAGGCGGUCCGGUAAGUCGGUUGUGAAAGUCGGGGGCUCAACCCUCGGAUGCCGAUCGAUACUGUCGGGCUAGAGUCCGGAAGAGGCGAGUGGAAUUCCUGGUGUAGAGGUGAAAUUCGUAGAUAUCAGGAGGAACACCAAUUGCGAAGGCAGCUCGCUGGAACGUAACUGACGCUGAGACGCGAAAGCGUGGGGAGCAAACAGG
rnacentral:rRNA from 1 species